AGCUUCUGAUAACAACUCAAACAUGUAGAAAAAAUGGUGUAUUUUUCAUUCUUUUACAAAAAACGGUUUCCAUUUUAUAACAAAGUGAUAACCACAGGGACCAUAACUGUAAUUUACUCAUAUUUUCGAUCGCCGAUCUCAUUCCUCAUUCCCCAAACUGUUUAUCUCGAUCGUCUUCAUCAUCGUCUGAUUUGCUUUGUUCGUUCGCCGCUGCUCCGUCAACCGGUCGAUUUUUCUCGAUCGUCUUCAUCCCUACCCGUGGAAAGAAGUGUCUCCAGAAAGAUGAUCACCUCAUUCACAUAUUCGUUGUCACUUUUUCAUUUACCAGAGUAUUAGGUUCAGAGGGGCAAGAUUGUCCAGGUGGGUGAGGUUUAUCACCAAAAGGGUGUUGACCCAUGUCCGAGACAAUUUCAUCAUCAAAUUCCCACCAUACCCCUGUGUCUUGAUCUUUAAUAUGGGCUACAUAGUGGCCACUAUUUACAGCUACACCCUUGUGAAUCAAAAUUGCUGAUAAAUCAUAUAUCAAUUCUCCCAUGUCAACAUGUCCAGGGAAACAAAAUGCAGAGGAGCCAGAACCGAUUGAUUGGGAGUACUACAGGAAAGGUCUUUCUUACCAAAAAACAAACAUGCAUACACUUUUAUACCAACAAACCUAUUGAUUGGUAGUAAUUUUAAUUGCAGUUUUUGUGCAACCAUAGAAAUCAUUCCAUUAGGGUUCUAAUUUUUAUUGUUUUUCUAACUUUAUUUUAGAUAAAAUUCAAAAUAUUUUAUAGAUAAUUUUGAAUUUUUGGUCCUAUAUCUUUUUUGUGUAUUAACACUCUUGUUUAAAAUCAUUUGAGUAAUGGCCUCAUUUUGUGUAUACUAUCUAGACACCCCUUUUCCCUUCCUAACAUUCCUUUGAACUAUGUUAUAAUGUGCUAAGUUGGUGAAGGGUAAAACGGUCAUUUAUCAUACUCAAAUAGUCUUUAUGUAUGCAAUAUAUUUUUUUAAAUUUGAAUUUUUUAAAAAGUAGUAUGCUUAAACUUUUAAAAAGGGUAAAACAAUCACUCUACAUUGUAGAUUCCAACCUAAUAUGAUGUUCAAAUUCCUUUUGUCAGGUAUAUACUAGAUAACAAGUUUCACCUAACAACAUUUCUUGAAGAUGACACCAAAUCUAAUGGAUAUUCUUCAAAAGAAUUGUCAUGGCUUCCUAAUAUAGAUCUGUUUAAGAUGAUUACUUGGAAUACAUGUUGUUACAGUUUCCAACCAAUGUCACUGGAUGGAUUUGUCACACAUUGGUCACUUCAAGUCUUCUAAAGGCAUGUCAAUCUAAAUCAAGCCAGUACUUCUGAUUGGGUAGUUGGUUUAGACUAUUCUUCUGGAACCACAGCUGCAGCUUUUGCUGCUGCCAUCAGAUGGGUGUCAAAAGAUGGAAUUGGUGCCAUUGGACAUUUUUUUAUUAGUGGAAGAUUUGGGAAUCUUUUUGAUGAUGAUCCAAAAUAAUGGCGCAUGUAUGCAGACUUCAUUGGAAGUGCUGGAAGGUGACUAAUGGAUUUUUUCUGUUAUCCACUUAAUACCAGUUUUUUUUUAAAAAAAAUUAAAUUAAUUUUUUCCCCUAUGUUUUAAUGUGAUAUGCAACAUCUUUGAUCUCACUACACCUCUCUAUCCUGCAUAUUUCCUCCCACUAGCAUCUUUAGGGAAUCUUGCAAAGUAAAGGAUCUUCUUAAAUGCAUCGCGAACAAUACGAGGAUAGUAAUGCUGAGACAAAAGUCAAGAUUGAGAAUUUGAAAAAGUUAGUUGAGACACAACGCGAACAAUAUGAGGAUAUUCAACAAAAAUAUGAGGAUCUUCAGCAAAAAUAUGAGGAUGCUCAGAAAAAAAAAUGUGGAGUUUCAGCAGAAAAAUGUGGAUGUUCAAGCAAAGUUUGAACAACUUAGCACAAGCAAUGAAUGUCAUUAACACAUUGAGUGGGCAAGUCAAAACUUUUAUUAAACAAUGAUAGAAUAUUAUGUAUCGAAUAAUGUUUUACGUUAAAUUUUUAGCGACUUUUAAUUUUGAAAUAUGUAUCUUUUGAUGUAUUGGAUAUUUCUUUUAGUUUCUAUAGAAAUACUUUGUUAUUUUUGGUUUUA